UGGUUAAAGUAGCGUGAAACGACGUCAUCACAUGUAUCGAUUUUGUGUCAUGGCGGCUUAUGGAAGAGUUGUCGCAUUGUUGUUUUGUUUGUGAUUUAUAGAAAAGCGUCAUGUAGAAAAUAAUUAUGAAUAUGCUUUUAAUACACAUUAUACUCUCUCAGUUUAUAUAUAGACCGGUGACAUUUAGGGCUGUAAACAACGAUUAUGAAGAUCGUAGCUGCUAUGUGCGACAAAAGUCGAGGUAUUGGAAUGAGUAAUGGAAUUCCGUGGCCAUAUCUUCCUGGCGAUGACAAAUAUUACAGAACACUUGUAGCUCCAAAACAUCAAGACCAACGUACAGCCAAUAUUAAAGGUAGACUCACGUGGAUCUCAACUAAAGAAGAUGAAAGUAAGGCACCGGGUAUCAUCAAUAUCGUUAUAACCAGUAAACCCAAAGAAUCUCUGAUACCAACCAAUGUGCAUUAUACUUGUUCAUCACUGGAAGAUGCUCACCAAUAUGCCUUAGAUUGUAAUAUAACCGAGGACGAUAUCUGGGUUAUGGGUGGCCAUGAUGUUUAUAAGUCCGCCAUAGAACAUCCAUUUUGUACGCAUUUACAUUUAACACGUUUGUUUGCUGAAUUUGAAACAGAUACAUCUUUUCCACCAUUUGAACAUCAGUUUAAACUCAUCAAAGAUCCCGAAAUUCACAAGGAAAAUGGUAUUAAAUAUCAAUUUGAAGUUUAUGGACGAAUGAAAGCCCACCAGUAACAACUCAGCCCAUCACUAUCAUUGUUAGUGUAUCGGAUAAUUAUUUGAUCUGCAAUAAAUGUUUAGUGUAUACCACAACAAAUAAUUAAGUGGUUUUGUUUUUGUUAUAUGUGUAAAAAUAAUGGGUGAGAGUCCGAUCCGAAUAUUUCACUUUUGGCGUGGCUUUGCUUUCCAGGAGAGAGUGGCGUGAAGGGUGUGUUUUCUAAAAAAUUCUUUGUUACUUUAAAACAAUUUAUAUAUAUUUGCCCAUUGUUUCCAAUUUGCUUAUUUAACGUAGGGAUCUUUUUAAAUCUGGAGGCACACUACCGUUUUGAUGUUUCGGUUUAAAAUGGAAGAGCAGGGGUUAAAUUAACAUGUUCUGCCAGGUUUUGGUAAAUAGUAAAGAUUCCAGACUUAAGAAUAUGAUUACGGUGAUAUGUACGGCGGAUAGUUACAGGUUUCUACAAUGCUACUUUAAGUUUAUGUAUCUCAAAAUUUCAUUGGUUAGCCACAUAUAAUAUCUGGAGAAAAGACAUGUCCAUUUGAUGCUCUGCCUGUAGUGAAAAGCGUUCAACAUAACGGAAGUUUGAGGAAAAGUUGGAGCCGGAUACAGAGACCAGAAUUGACAUUGAAGUCAUUUGGGAAAUUAAUGGUGAUCUGCCUCCACAUGAAAUCAGACGGGCAAUUCACUUGACAUAGACAUCGCUGUUAAAUUCAUAUCAUUUUUUGGCCGAUUCAUCCUGAAAUUGAAUGAUACAACAUCCUGCGGUUUUUUAGUUAGACCGUCACUUCACAAGGUCGGCCAGACCUUGGUUGUCUUCAGUGCUGAUCCCCCCCUGUACUAUACCAAGGAGCAUUGCCACAUAAUGUUUGUAACAUGUCAUCAUAAAUUUGCUAUGGUGCUAAAUCUUUCAAAUGGAGAUACAUAUUUAAUCAUUGCCCUGUAUUGAGUUUUCUCCAUUUUGAGAGCAAAUGAAAGGGUCACGUUGUUUGAUAGCUAUAUAUAGGAAUUCACGUGUUGCGUAUCAGGCACAUGCUGAGAUACUGUUCUAGCAUUAUGAUUGGGUGAGUUCAGACACUUUUGAGGCACCCGUCGUACGUUUUUGAAUAUUAAAGACCCCCCCCCCUCACACUCACACACACAAACACAUAAAUUAACACAUCUUAUUUGAUAAAACCUAAACUUUUAUUAUUCAAAAAAAUCCAAGAUGGUAUGUCCUGAUGAGACAAGAUUGUAGCGACGACAGAUUUUGAUUACCUGUAAACGUGGUCAAUAUGAAUAUGUGACAAUUUCGUGAUAGAUAGGAAGAGUAUGACCGCACCUAAGUUGAAUCAAAUUGUUUCAAAUCGUGCUAUCUUUUUUAUCUUCAUCUACAUGUUGUAAAAUCUCACAGACUGUCCUACAUUAUAUAUUUACAAAGUAGAAUCGUUAUUCUAAAAUAAGAGUAGACGAAUACAAGAUGAAAGUUGCUGUUAUAGUGUUGGUUUGUUUUGUAGCAGGUAAUAAGACUUAUGUUAUGUGGUGUCGAUGUUUAUCUCGAAGAGAAUAUGUGGCUUUGUGAAUUGUUUAAAAAGACUUGAAUUUUAGUGGGAUGGACUGCUCCUGCUUUACAGUUUGGUACGUGUGUGGAGAUGUGCUCUUUAAGUGGCGAAUUCGGUUCACCUUGUAAAGCUGGUUAUCACUGUGCCUCAAAUGGAUGUGGACACACCUGUCAAAAGACUGACAUCAUCUUGGGACAUAAAAUAUGUAACAAUAUCCAUAUGGCUUUGUGUGAUCUGUGGUGUCCUAAUGGUGCUGGUUUUGCCCAUGAUGAAAAUGGAUGCCCUCUUUGUAAAUGUGGCACCGGUCUUCAGAUUGCCCAGAUUCAAUAGGAUUUAUUUUUCGU